UUUAACGUUAUUUUCAGGUUAUAAAUAGCAAAGGCGAUGUUCUUCAGUGUAGUCAUUACAUGCCAACUGUUCUCCCUGAAGGAAAGCCUCUGCCUUGUGUUAUAUACUGCCAUGGCAACAGGUUAGUUAGUAUAUAUAUGUCGCCUCUUAGACACAUUUGAUAUUAAUGCUCAAAUGUAACAUUUGUAUCUUUUGAGAUUUUUGUCCUUUUUUACUUAUUCAAUUUUAUUUUUAUGUACUUAUUUGGUUAUAUUAUAUCAUUUAUAUCAGUGGGAGUCGUGCAGAUGCUAGUGAAGCAGCUAUAAUAUUAUUGCCAUCAAAUAUUACAGUUUUCACCCUCGACUUUUCUGGAUCUGGACUCUCUGAAGGAGAGCAUGUCAGUCUAGGGUGGUAUGAGGUAAGUUUUGCUUCUUUCACAAGGGUAAAAUCGUCCUUUACUCCCAUUCAGACAGAUAGACAGACAAGACAGACAGACAAACGGUUGAAUCAGUCCAAAAAAGUACAAACAAACAUCGUUUUUAGUUAACAUAUCUAUCCAUACAGCACUUAAUGGAAAAGAAAAAUAAGAAACAUACACUUUAGAUACUUAAAUUAAACCUUUUAAAUAUAUAAUCAAAUCAAUUUUUUUAUUUGGGUAUUUUCAGAAGCAAGAUUUGAAAGCUGUGGUAGAUCAUUUGAGGGCUGAUGGAAAUGUUUCAUUGAUAGGCCUUUGGGGUCGAUCUAUGGGUGCUGUGACUAGGUAUUUUAAUUUUUUAUAUUCUUAAAGUUUUUUUUUUAUAAAUAUUUUUUGCAGUGUAUCGAGGUAGAUAUAACAUUUAGCUUGACCUUGUCUUGUUUAUAGAAUAUAUGCAGACCAUUUUUUCAUUAGAUUUGAAUAUUUUAACGAUUUAAUGUAACAAACUAUUAUUUUUUACAAUCUAAUGAAUUAGCUUACAUUUUUUCUUGUUACAACAUUGUAUGUUAAACAAUCUACCCUAUUAUAGCAAUAUUUAUUGCUUCCUAGGUGGAUUUUUCAAAGUAUAAUGUUGUAAUAAGAAAAAAAAUUUGAAAUUACAUUGCUAUAAUUGUAUAAAGUUAUUCACAAAUAAAUGAAAGUACACAUUGCUGUUUCUUUCAUUUAGCCCUAGUAAACUUUUUUAUUAGGUUUUUAUUAUUGUUAUUAAAAUACUCAUCUUCCUGUUUUAAGUUAUUGACUUAAAAUGUUCAUCUUUUUCAGCCUCAUGUAUGGAUCUGAGGACCCUUCAAUUGCAGGAAUGGUUCUUGAUAGUCCUUUUUCUGAUUUAGUUGAUUUAAUGAUGGAACUUGUGGAUACCUACAAAUAUCGUCUCCCCAAGUUUACUGUAUGGAAGCUUACUAAAAAUAUAUAACAGUUUUGAGUUUUUAAUUUGAUUUUCUUUUAUUUUUAUUUAUUCAAUUAUUUUUUUCAGAUUAAGUUUGCUAUCCAGUACAUGCGGAAGGCUAUUCUAAAAAAGGCAAAAUUUGACAUUGUGGAGUUGAACACCAUAAAGGUUUGUUUUAUUAUUAAGGCUACAUUUGUUACACACGAGGAGGGCAUUCACGUCUUUUUCACAGGUCUGUUUUUUGUUGUCAUUUUAGGUUGCCAAGUCUUCCUUUGUUCCGGUUCUUUUUGGUCAUGCAGUUGAUGAUGACUUUAUACAACCACAUCACUCCGAUCGUAUUUAUGAGGCUUACAUGGUAUAUUACACACACACACACAAACACUAUAUUGUGGCUAUUUCAAAUUGAUACAAUAAGAAUUCAUUUUAUUAUUACAAAAAUGGCAACAUGCGGUUUAUUUUGUUACAUUUUGCAGGGUGACAAAAAUAUCAUCAAAUUUGAGGGUGAUCACAACUCUCCACGUCCUCAAUUCUAUUUUGAUUCUAUUAACAUAUUUUUCCACAAUGUCUUGCAACCUCCCGAAGAUGAAGUUAGGAGAAGCUUGAUUGACACGUCACUAAGUUACUUAGACAAGGUAUAAAUAUACUUAAAUUAUGCAUUAAUCAAUAUAUUUCCUAUAUAAUAUUCAAAUCAUAUUUCUUUUUUAAUUUCCCCCUAGGAAUUUGACAUGAGCGAGGAUGAGGACAAUCUUAUAUUUGCACCUCAAGGCAUGCCAUUUCUAAUUUUUAUUUUUAUUUUAUUUUAUAGGAGUUGGUUUGGUAUAAUAUUCUUUGAACCCCAUUUGUUACACUGGUAGGACAUGACAAGACAAGACAAGACAAGACAAGACAAGACAUGACAUGACAUGACAUGACAUGACAUGACAUGACAUGACAUGACAUGACAGUAGUAGGGCUAUUUUUGAUGAUGAGGGCAUUGAUGUCCUUUUUAUAGUUAAGAUGGUCCCACCUUUUUGGGUGGAACAAAAAAUGCAAAUUUUGUCCUGUUGACAUUAUUCUGACAGUCUUAGUUCUAGUGCAUGACAAAUGCAGUGCAACCUGUUGUGCUCUGUCUUAUGUAACAAGUGGAGCCCUAAGGAUCCUUUCCUUAUAUUUGUUUAAUAAUUGCAUAUUCAGCAUCAAGUAGCACCGAAGAAGUCAUUGACCAAGUUCGUCAUAAAAGACCAAUGAGCAAGAUAGAGGUGCCUUGUGAAAUGUCAUCAACGUAUAAACAAUGUAACGUAGAGGUAUCUUUCUUGUUUCUAGUUAAAUCAUAUUUCUAUCUCACUUCAUCUUUACAACAAAACUAGAAGAAUUUGUGGGUAUAAGUUUCAAUUUUUUGUUUUUUUAUGACAAUGGAGAUAUUGAUACUUACUACUAAAUAUCAUUGUAUGUGCAGGAAGAAGAAAGUACAAAGGGGGGUGUUUCAUCAUUGUCAAAAAUGAUUAAUUUUGAGUUUUGUAACGGAUCUUCUUACGAACAUGAUGACCUCACGUCAAUAGAUGAUGAUGAAUAUGUUGAGUAUCCACUUCAUAAUGUUGACGAUAUUCCAUGCAACAAAGAGGAAGAAGAAAGGGUAUGUAUAUGUCUUGUCAUGUUUUGUCCUAUGUGUAUAUGCAUUUUACGUCUUUUGCGCAGACAGAUGGAUCCAAUGCAAAUCCGCCUCCCACCUUUUUGGUGGGAUAAAUAUUAUAGCUUUUGUCCCAUUUAUAUCGGUUUGAUUCCAAUGCAUGUCAAACAAUGCACAAUUUGUUUUGUCAUGUCUUGUCCUGAAUAUCAAUUCUUUUAUCACAGUACAAUGCAGGCCAAACACAGUGCUGAGCUGUCAUGUUUUGUCCUAUGUGUAUAUGCAUUUUACAAAUUCUAACCAUAUAUUGGUUUCAUCUUGCUAAAAAACUUUAGAUGCUCAUGGAAGCUGUACUACUUUCUUUAAACCAAGAUGCAACUCCUUUAGGUGAUCAACAGCCUAUAGAUCCAACGGCUUGUAGAAGUGAUGAGUCACCUUCUGAGGUAAAGUCUCGGUGCAAUGCCACGUCAUCACCAUCAAAUGCAACUGCGUCUGUGGAAGAUUCUGGAAGUAACAGUAGAACUUCUGCUGGUACUAUCGCCGCCAGCUCAUCUGAUGACAUGGCUGAUGGGAUAAAAGCCACAGUGACAGUUGUGAAAAGUCCGUCUAUUAGCAUAAUGGACAGUUUCUUACGUGGUUGGGAUUUAAACUUUUUCAAAACCAGAUAAUCAUAUGUUAUUAUUGAUUAAUUUUGUGGCUUUUGAUUUCCUACAUAUUGUAUAUUAGGUGUUAACUUUGGUUCUUUUUUGAUUGUAUGGAAACAAAAUAUCGUUUGUGUUUCUUGCGUCUAAUUUCUUGAUCUUACAGGAUAUAACAUAACAUAUUGUAUUGUUUUUGGCGUACAUUGAACAGGAAAAUGAGACUAAUAAUGGUGUCGAGACUCUAAAUAAAUACAAAACUAAUUAGUAUAAUGAUCAAAGGUGACUUCAUACCAAAAGGAUCUAUUUAGUAAUAAUCAUUGUUCGCUAAAAGUAAUUACCGUCUUAAUAAGAAAAAAAAAGGAAUAUUGUUGGUGGGUAAAUUGAUGUCCUUUGGCAAGUAAAUUAGCUUUUAACUGUAAGAAUUUGUAACAAGACAGCUAGGCUUGGUAUGUGCAAUUGUGUGAUGUAUAUAGUUUUAAUAAAUUUAUGUACAAUUCUAAGAAACCUAAAAGCACUAACUAUUUAAUUAUCUUUAGCAAUAAAUCUAGAACUCGAUAGUAAUCAUAGAUAGAAUUUUUCUUAUUACUUCAUACCCAAGCAUAAAACAUGAGAGGUAUUAUAAGGGAGUACAAGAUUAUAAAGAUGGUAAACAGGCUAAAUAAAAGGAAAAAAUAAAGCAAAUAAAAUAUAAAAGAUAUCUUAUGAUAUGGUUUCCAACUAGAAGGAAUUUAGGGUUUAGGGUUUAGGGUUGUUUUGCUUAUUUGCUUAAUAUAGCAUCCUAUUUUAAUUUUUUUAAAUGUAAUUCUUAAAAAAUAUAAAGAUGAAACUACCAAACCAUAAAGAAAUGUCCAUUUUUUUCAAACCUGCUGGCCAAUAUAUUACUGAAACGGGCAGAAUAGUCUUUUUGUCUGUUAUUAUCCUUGUCCUAAUCCCUAAAAAAAAUCAUGUAAUAUAUUAACUACUAUUAUAUUGUCUAGACCAAAAUUUAUAAAAGUGAUGGUGUUUUAGUAAACUAAAAAGUCAAUAUUUUGAUAGAAAAGAAAAUAAAAACCCAUCACUGAACGGUUCAUAAACGAUUAAUCUAUUGAUAACAAAUUCUAACAACUUGCUAGAACAACUUUUAAAAAAAAACACAAAUGAUUAUCCUACCACAUACCUUUCAACACACACUAACAAUAUUUCCCCUGCGGCCGAUGGUUUUGUUGCGAGAAAAAUAAUUUACGGGAAGCAAGGCAGCAAGUCAGGCAAUCCAUAAUACUAACAAUCAUUUAUGUGGGUGAAAAAUCAAAAUUAUAACAGAAGUAUGAUGCUGUUUCUUGCAUAUAAUCCUUAAGUUAUUUUCCUAAAAAAUAAGAUAUAAAAAAAUUAAAUUCAAUAAUUUCAUUUGCAAAUCAUCCAUGGAACGAAAACAAUAUAGAUACAAUAAAAGGAAGCAAGGGCAAUGGUCGGCUGAAAUUGUUAUAAACGCGCAGUAAGGUUUUUUAUAUAUUAAGCAGAACUAUUGUAUAUAAUUUUAUAAGUAAUAUUAUAUGAAAGUCUAACAUUUUCAAUACAUAUACUUCUUCAUGAAGGUCCCAUUUGUCCUGUUCCCACCAAUUUUAACACAGAAACUAAAGCAUCAAGCUUCUCAGGUGUAAAGCUCCCUUGCUUUAUAAAUUGCAUUUCCUACAUAAGUUUGUAGGAUAUAUGUAUACAUAUUGUUAGGAAAUAUGUAGAGAAAUUUUUAGAUAUGGUUUUGGUAAGGUGAUCAUGGUUUAUGCAUAUUACCUUUUUGAGGGCAUAUUAGUCUUCAAAUAAACAAACAUAUUAUGAUAAGAGAAUGUAAACUUUGAAAGCUAAAUUUGCAAAUGGAUGAUAAAUUUUAGUUGGUGGAGAAAGAUGGCUGAAAUUGAUAAGAAUACUUUACCAUUUAUUGAUUUCAAACCCAGAUUUUAAAUAGUCGUUUUAACAAACACCUGGUGCGCUUCGUCCAUUUCUUCAAACUUCUCUAAUAAUCAUGAACACACACAGCUGUUCCUGCAACCUCAUCCCGUCAAACACCUGAAAAACGAAACAAAAUCCAGUGUUUUUUGAAAGCUAGAAAAGAAAGAAAAUGAAUAAUCGAAAACGAACCUUAAAUUGAUUCCCAGAGAAAGAACGGAAACUGAUAGGAGAAGCAGUGAAGGAAACGUAGAACCGUUAAGAAAAGAGGAAAUCGAUGAUGUCGUCGGCGCCCUGAUCCAAAGAACCACCACCAAACGGUCUCUGACUGCUGCUCCUUCAGCAGUCGUCGAUCACCAGCAACAGCUCCAACGUCAGUCACAAUGAUGAUCGUCAACCGUCGACCGCCUUCAAUAUUGGCGACGUAACAAAUCUGCCCGGGUGGGAACCGAACACCCCGCUGCUCCGAAGAGAGAAAAGAAAGGAAGUCGGAGGAAAUGAGAGACGAGUUUUAUUAAAAGAGGAAGCCUAAGGAAAUGAAAG
rnacentral:lncRNA from 1 species